rnacentral:rRNA from 1 species
ACUGAAUAGAUACCCUGGUAGUCCACGCUGUAAACGAUGAGUGCUAGAUGCCGGAUUUUUUCGGUGUCGCAGCUAAACGCAUUAAGCACUCCACCUGGGAAGUACGAUCGCAAGGUUGAAACCCAAAGGAAUUGACGGGGGCCCGCACAAGCAGUGGAGCAUGUGGUUUAAUUCGAUGCAACGCGAAGAACCUUACCUAGGCUUGAAAAGCUUAUGACCGGCUGUGAAAGCAGCUUUCCCGCAAGGGCAUAAGUACAGGUGCUGCAUGGCUGUCGUCAGCUCGUGCCGUGAGGUGUUGGGUUAAGUCCCGCAACGAGCGCAACCCUUACCAUUAGUUGCCACCGGAGCAAUCCGAGCACUCUAAUGGAACUGCCUACGCAAGUAGUGAGGAAGGUGAGGAUGACGUCAAGUCCGCAUGGCCCUUACGCCUAGGACUACACACGUGCUACAAUGGCCGCCACAACGGGCAGCAAAAUCGCGAGAUGGAGCGAAUCCCUAAAAAGCGGCCUCAGUUCGGAUU